CCUACGGGGGGCAGCAGUGGGGAAUAUUGGACAAUGGGCGAAAGCCUGAUCCAGCCAUGCCGCGUGUGUGAAGAAGGCCUUCGGGUUGUAAAGCACUUUCAGUGGGGAAGAAAGCCUUGGGGCUAAUACCCUCGAGGAAGGACAUCACCCACAGAAGAAGCACCGGCUAACUCCGUGCCAGCAGCCGCGGUAAUACGGAGGGUGCGAGCGUUAAUCGGAAUUACUGGGCGUAAAGCGCGCGUAGGCGGUCUGAUAAGCCGGUUGUGAAAGCCCCGGGCUCAACCUGGGAACGGCAUCCGGAACUGUCAGGCUAGAGUGCAGGAGAGGAAGGUAGAAUUCCCGGUGUAGCGGUGAAAGGCGUAGAGAUCGGGAGGAAUACCAGUGGCGAAGGCGGCCUUCUGGACUGACACUGACGCUGAGGUGCGAAAGCGUGGGUAGCAAACAGGAUUAGAUACCCUGGUAGC
rnacentral:rRNA from 1 species